UCCUACUGGAGACCGUAACCACCUAAGGUAGUGUAGAUCCUACUGGAGACCGUAACCACCUAAGGUAGUGUAGAUCCUACUGGAGACCGUAACCACCUAAGGUAGU